rnacentral:rRNA from 2 species
AGACCCGAAACCCGGUGAUCUAGCCAUGGGCAGGUUGAAGGUUGGGUAACACUAACUGGAGGACCGAACCGACUAAUGUUGAAAAAUUAGCGGAUGACCUGUGGCUGGGGGUGAAAGGCCAAUCAAACCGGGAGAUAGCUGGUUCUCCCCGAAAGCUAUUUAGGUAGCGCCUCGUGAAUUCAUCUCCGGGGGUAGAGCACUGUUUCGGCUAGGGGGCCAUCCCGGCUUACCAACCCGAUGCAAACUGCGAAUACCGGAGAAUGUUAUCACGGGAGACACACGGCGGGUGCUAACGUCCGUCGUGAAGAGGGAAACAACCCAGACCGCCAGCUAAGGUCCCAAAGUCAUGGUUAAGUGGGAAACGAUGUGGGAAGGCCCAGACAGCCAGGAUGUUGGCUUAGAAGCAGCCAUCAUUUAAAGAAAGCGUAAUAGCUCACUGGUCGAGUCGGCCUGCGCGGAAGAUGUAACGGGGCUAAACCAUGCACCGAAGCUGCGGCAGCGAACGUAUCACCCAAGACAACUUUACGGAGUUGACGAUUGACGGAGCGAAGCGACGUCAAAGCGUUCAUUAAAGUCGAGUUGGCUUAGGGAUACGUUCGUUGGGUAGGGGAGCGUUCUGUAAGCCUGUGAAGGUGUGUCGUGAGGCAUGCUGGAGGUAUCAGAAGUGCGAAUGCUGACAUAAGUAACGAUAAAGCGGGUGAAAAGCCCGCUCGCCGGAAGACCAAGGGUUCCUGUCCAACGUUAAUCGGGGCAGGGUGAGUCGACCCCUAAGGCGAGGCCGAAAGGCGUAGUCGAUGGGAAACGGGUUAAUAUUCCCGUACUUGGUGUUACUGCGAAGGGGGGACGGAGAAGGCUAUGUUGGCCGGGCGACGGUUGUCCCGGUUUAAGCGUGUAGGUGUGUGUUCCAGGUAAAUCCGGUUCACUUUAACACUGAGGCGUGACGACGAGGCACUACGGUGCUGAAGCAACAAAUGCCCUGCUUCCAGGAAAAGCCUCUAAGCAUCAGGUAACACGAAAUCGUACCCCAAACCGACACAGGUGGUCAGGUAGAGAAUACCAAGGCGCUUGAGAGAACUCGGGUGAAGGAACUAGGCAAAAUGGUGCCGUAACUUCGGGAGAAGGCACGCUGACACGUAGGUGAAGUGAUUUACUCAUGG